UUCUUUUUUUUUUUGAGGUGGAAUUUCGCUCUUGUUGCCCACGCUGGAGUGCAAUGGCACAAUCUCGGCUCACUGCAACCUCUGCCUCCUGGGUUCAAGCGAUUCUCCUGCCUCAGCCUCCCGGGUAGCUAGGAUUACAGGCAUGCGCUACCACGCCUGGCUAAUUUUGUAUUUUUAGUAGAGACGGGGUUUCUCCAUGUUUGUCAGGCUGGUCUCGAACUCCCGACCUCAGGUGAUCUGCCCGCCUUGGCCUCCCAAAGUGCUGGGAUUACAGGCGUGAGCCACUGUGCCCGGUCCAUCCUCUUUUUUUUCUUUUUGAGACAGGUUCUUGCUCUAUCACCCAGGCUGGAGUGUAGUGGCACGACCAUAGCUCAAUGCAGCCUCCAACUCCUGGGCUCAAGUGAUCCUCCUGCCUCAGUCUCCUGAGUAGCUGGGACUGCAGGUGAGUGCCACCGCACUGGGCUAAUCUUCCAAUUUUUCUAUAGAGACGGGGUCUCAUUAUGUUGCCCAGGCUGGUCUCAAACUCCUAGGGAUCCUUCCGCCUCGGAGGUCAAGGCUGCAUUAGCCAUGACUGCACCACUGCACUCCAGCCUGGGUGAGAGAGCAAGACCCUGUCUC
rnacentral:lncRNA from 1 species